GCUAAAAGGGGGGCUCGGCUGAGAGGGAGGGUUCGGUUGAGGGAGACUCACACGGUUAGGGAGAGGGAGCCGACAGAAAGGGGGAACGACAAAGAGGGUUCGACAGAGGGAAGAGAUAGACAAGAGGGCGAGAGAGCGUGAGAGUGGUGGAGGAGGGGAAUAGCACGAGAGAGAGAGAGAGUUGCGUAGGAGGGAGGUUGUGCGGUUGAGAGGGAAGACGACAUAAACAACGAGAGAGGGAGGAGGAGAAAAGGGAAGAAGAAGAGGGAAAGGCGAGGGAGAAGAGGCAGAGGUUGAGAGGGCUUACCAGAGCGCCACAGCUGCAGUCCUUUCUCCACCGACCUAAGCGUCGCCCCAGCCACCUUCCGACUCCCAUUUCUCUCUGUCGUGCGAACCAGCGAGAGACAAAGGGGAAGGAGACGUUGAGGAAGGCGAGGGAGAAGAGGUCCCUCGCGCGACGGGCUCCCCUAUCACGCUUGGAGCUCGGAUCCGGAUCUGGACCCGAUCCGCCGACCUGCCCAAAUAAGUAACGUUACAACAUGGGCCGAAGAAAGUGAGCCCGUGACAACUGGUAUCAAAACCCACGUUGAUCAACUAGCACAGUGGUUGCCACGAGCUAAGUCUGUGUCUAGUUAUCUGAUGGUUGACUGCUAUUUGUGGCAGCCUAUAUAACACGGGUACUGCUUCAAAUGACCAAUACCUGCACCGUACUGGUACGACACCAGUACGGGUACGGGUGUGGCGUCGGGUGUAGCGUUGAUCGUGUCCAAAAUGGUCCACCGCACGUUUUGAAAAACCAUUUUUUCCCUCUCUCGCACAAUGCCUUUGCCCUCUCACCUCUCCUCCCCUCACCCCUCUCGCCCUCUUGCCUCUUCCCCUCCCACCCCUCUUGACCUCUCGCCCUCUCUCUUGCCCUCUCUCUUGCCCUCUUGCCCUAUGCCCUCUCUCUUGCCCUGUGCACAACAGAAGAAGAUGCCUCGCGAGGAAGGACACCAGAUCCAUUUCGUUCCCAUCGCAGCUUUUUUCGCAACCGACAUCGACUGAUGGUGGCAUUACUGAAGUCAAGGAGGAAAUCCACACCGUGAACCGUUGGAACAGCCAUGGAACUUGGAAGUAGGCUAGCAGUCCCUUGGAACAUGGCUGUAGACGAAACAAAUUUUGUAGCGGACAGAGUACAAGCUUGUCAACAGAAGAAGCACACGACGAGUGGGACCAGUGGAGGAAUGGAAGCUCGGCUAGCUUCGAUAGAGACAACCAUUGCCUCCUUGAGUCAUUCGAUGACUGAAGUUGCUUGGAACUUCGAAGACUAUAAUGACUAACCAGAAUCUGGACUAGGUGAACUCUCAGUUGCGAGAAGUUUUGGCCCAUUUAGCUGCUAUGGAAGAUGAGAUGCACACCCUCAGGACGCGAAACAGGACCCUGGGGAAUCAGCUUGCUUGUGAGAUUAUUUCGUUUUAUAGUGUGGAUUUGUGAAAUAUGUACUCUAAUUUCUCUCACAGCAUGAAGAUGUAGCAAGUUAAACUAGCAAUUUGAAAGCAAGGUAUUGAAGAGUAGGAUAAGCAUGUC